AACCUGGGGCUUGCUCCAGGGGAGAGUGGCGCACGGGUGAAUAACGCGUAGGUAAUGUUCCUAUUGGCUGGGAAUAACCUGCCGAAAGGCGGGCUAAUACCCAAUAAGUUCCCUUGAGGUUCGCCUUGGGGGAAGAAAGCAGGGCAACUUGCACCGAUAGAUCAGCCUGCGUCCCAUCAGCUUGUUGGUGAGGUAACGGCUCACCAAGGCUACGACGGGUAGCUGGUCUGAGAGGAUGAUCAGCCACACUGGGACUGAGACACGGCCCAGACUCCUACGGGAGGCAGCAGUGGGGAAUAUUGGACAAUGGGCGAAAGCCUGAUCCAGCAAUGCCGCGUGAGUGAUGAAGGCCUUCGGGUUGUAAAGCUCUGUCGGGAGGGACGAAAAAGCCGGUUAACACCCGGUAUUGACGGUACCUCCAAAGGAAGCACCGGCUAACUCUGUGCCAGCAGCCGCGGUAAUACAGAGGGUGCAAGCGUUGUUCGGAAUUACUGGGCGUAAAGCGCGUGUAGGUGGCGAUGUAAGUCGGGUGUGAAAUCCCUUGGCUCAACCAAGGAAGUGCACUCGAUACUGUGUCGCUUGAGUACCGGAGGGGAUGGCGGAAUUCCCGGUGUAGAGGUGAAAUUCGUAGAUAUCGGGAGGAACACCUGUGGCGAAGGCGGCCAUCUGGACGGUCACUGACACUGAGACGCGAAAGCGUGGGUAGCAAACAGGAUUAGAUACCCUGGUAGUCCACGCUGUAAACGAUGAGUGCUAGACGUCAUGGGUAUUGACCCCCGUGGUGUCGAAGUUAACACGUUAAGCACU
rnacentral:rRNA from 1 species